UCCCUCCGUCCUCGGGCUGCAGGACGUCUCACCCGCUUUCGGCCUCUCCAGAGCCAGGCUCCGCGGCUGGAGCAGCAGACGUCCCCUCCCCGGCCGGAGCGGCUGCUACCGCUACUACCGGCUUCGUUUCCCCUUCUUCUGCCGGUGUUGCAUUUGCAGCCACUGCCGGGCCGGGUCCUGCAUUCACUCCCGGACCGGGCACGGUUCCCGCCGCCGCCAUCACUGCCGCCUCCCAGACUUCUCGCGAGAAUACUGUCUGCGUCUCGCGCGAGUUGCUCACUGGCCCUCUAACCUUCAAAUAGUAAAGAUUCUCAUUCCAGCAAGGAACCAGAACCUGUGCCAUCAACAUCCGGCAUGAGUGAAAUUGCAGCUUGCCCUCUGUUUCCUAUUGCUGAUGACCCUGCAGCUCUACCAUCUCUCACCUCCACUCCCUCCUCCAUGCCAGCCCCUGUGUGCCAGCUGUGGUACUGGACUACUGUACUUUUCAAGAAUUUAAAUCCCUCUUCAAGUGCUCAAUCACCAGAUCAACUGGAACCUAAGGGGUGAUGAUGUUGACCUUUUCUGACCCUCCUGACUUCAAUCAACUAAAGCUUGGACUGUCCACUGCUCAAGCCCCUUCAUGAACAUGCACGUACCCUUAGGUUAAAACUUUCCCAAUUUUGCUGUUUGGAAACACUACUUUGAGAAGGAUCCCUGGUGUUCUCUUUACUUGAUACAAGUAAUAAAUCCUUCCUUCUUCUUAUCUUUGGCUUGGUUAUAUCUUAUGGCUCGACAUCCACCAAGAGGAGACCCAGUUUUCAGGUAACACCAGGACAGGUUUUUUUGUUUUGUUUUAUUUUAUUUUAUUUUUUUUUUUUUUUGCGGUAUG